rnacentral:rRNA from 1 species
CGGACGGGUGAGUAAUGUAUGGGGAUCUGCCUGAUGGCGGGGGAUAACUACUGGAAACGGUAGCUAAUACCGCAUAAUGUCUACGGACCAAAGCGGGGGACCUUCGGGUCUCUUGCCAUCGGAUGUGCCCAGAUGGGAUUAGCUAGUAGGUAAGGUAACGGCUUACCUAGGCGACGAUCCCUAGCUGGUCUGAGAGGAUGAUCAGCCACACUGGGACUGAGACACGGCCCAG